rnacentral:misc_RNA from 1 species
ACAAGGUUUCCGUAGGUGAACCUGCGGAAGGAUCAUUAAAGCGUUGCCGACGUCGGCCCCGGCCGUUCGGCUUGAAAUAUAGCCUGGACGGUGCUGGAGGUCGCCGGCAGUUGCCCAUUCUUGCCUACUGACCCAGUUGCCUCGGCGAGCCGUGCCACUCGUGGCAGACCGGAAGCCGUUUGAACCCCUAGGGCUCAGGCGGCCCUGGCCAGUGCCCGCCGACGGACAGACUUAAAAUCUUUAUAUAUUGGCCGUCUGAGCGUAUAAAGCAAAUCAAUUAAAACUUUCAACAACGGAUCUCUUGGUUCCGGCAUCGAUGAAGAACGCAGCGAAAUGCGAUAAGUAAUGUGAAUUGCAGAAUUCCGUGAAUCAUCGAAUCUUUGAACGCACAUUGCGCCCCCUGGUAUUCCGGGGGGCAUGCCUGUUCGAGCGUCAUUGCAACCCUCAAGCUCGGCUUGUGUGAUGGGCGACCGUCCUUCCCCUAGGGGCGGGACGCGUCCGAAAAGCAGUGGCUAGGCCGCGAUUCCGGCGCCUGAGCGAAUGGGACUUCCACCGCUUCUAGGACCGGCCGGCACUUGGCCUUUAAACACGGUCUUAACUGACCAUCUAGGUUGACCUCGGAUCAGGUAGGGAUACCCGCUGAACCUAAGCAUA